AGAGAGAGACAUGCGCGCAUAUCAAUAAGCGGAGGAAAAGAAACUAACAAGGAUUCCCUUAGUAACGGCGAGUGAAGCGGGAAGAGCUCAAAUUUGAAAUCUUCAAGGUUUUACCUUGACGAAUUGUAGUUUAAAGGAGUGUUUUCUGCUGAAGUUUUGGUAAUAGUUCUUUGGAAUAGGACAUCAUAGAGGGUGAGAAUCCCGUAUUUGACCAUUAUUUUCAGCUUUGUGAUACACUUUCAGAGAGUCGGAUUGUUUGGGAAUGCAGUCCAAAAUGGGUGGUAAAUUUCAUCUAAAGCUAAAUAUUGGCGAGAGACCGAUAGCGAACAAGUACCGUGAGGGAAAGAUGAAAAGAACUUUGAAAAGAGAGUUAAACAGUACGUGAAAUUGUCAAAAGGGAAGCGUUUGACACCAGUGUUGUUUUCUCGAAAAUCAAUUAAAAAUGGCUCGAUUUUGUAUUGUUGAGACCUUAAAAGCUCACUGUACAUUUUUCGUGUCUUUUUUAAUGCACUUUUCGUUUAACAAGUCAACAUCAGUUUCUUUUGUUGUAAAAGGGUCAUUGGAAGGUGGCUUUCUUUUCGGAGAAAGUGUUUAUAGCCUUUGGCCUCUGCAAUCGGAAGAGACUGAGGUCUGCAGCGUAGACUCUUCGGGGUUAGAUACAUUUGUGCUAAGUUAUAGCUUUUUAUAGACAACUUGUUGACUAUAAUUAGUCUUGUAGCUUACUCGCUUAUGCUAUUUUACCUACGCUUAGGAUGUUGAAGUCAUCGUAUCGCGC
rnacentral:rRNA from 1 species